AUGAUCUGGGCUAUUCGUGUGCCCCUCAAGAUCAGGAUCUUCAUGUGGCAAUGGAUCCGCGGUCGGCUUCCCUCCGGCGUUGAGGUGUUAAAACGGAAUGGCACGGGCGAUGGGUUCUUCCCCCUAUGUGGGACGGAGGAAACCUCGAAUCACAUCUUCUUCUCGUGCGUUUCCGCCCAGUUCCUCUGGAGCUGCCUCCGUGAGGUUGUCAGGGUAGUUGGUGUAACACCAACUUCCCAGACUUCCUCGCCGAGGUCUAGGCUUCUUCCCCGUCGGGCCGCCAUAUUAGGUGGCUGCUCAUUGGGGUCCUUGAUUGGACGCUCUGGAUCGUGCGUAAUAAGCUUGUCAUCCAGUGUGUGCCUCUUCGACGUGCCACUGACGCGGUGCUCAAAAUGUGUGGUUAUUUGCAGCUCUGGCGGCUGCUUAGCCGCAUUCAGGACCGGGACGCCAUCAACACCAUCAUUGCCGACCUUCGCACGAUGGCUCUCCGCUUGGCGCCGCCGCCUCCUCCUGCACCACCUGAGCCGGAUUAGCUUCUUAGCUGCGGUGUAUCCACCUUUGUUUUUGUUUUCAGCGCUCGUUAAGUUGUGCCCUCAGCAGAACCCUCUUUUACUCUAUGUUGUGUGA
rnacentral:rRNA from 1 species